UACAGAGGUCUCAAGCGUUGUUCGGAUUCAUUGGGCGUAAAGGGUGCGUAGGCGGCGCGGUAAGUCGGGUGUGAAAUUUCGAGGCUUAACUUCGAAAACUGCAUUCGAUACUGCCGUGCUAGAGGACUGGAGAGGAGACUGGAAUUUUACGGUGUAGCGGUGAAAAUGCGUAGAUAUCGUAAGGAAGACCAGUGGCGAAGGCGGGUU
rnacentral:rRNA from 1 species